rnacentral:rRNA from 1 species
UGCCAGCCGCCGCGGUAACAGGGGGGGCGCAAGCGUUGUUCGGAAUUAUUGGGCGUAAAGGGCGCGUAGGCGGCCUGAUAAGUCAGGGGUGAAAUCCCUCGGCUCAACCGAGGAACUGCCUCUGAAACUGUCAGGCUUGAGGCCGGGAGAGGGUAGUGGAAUUCCCAGUGUAGCGGUGAAAUGCGUAGAUAUUGGGAGGAACACCAGUGGCGAAGGCGGCUUUCUGGACCGAUACUGACGCUGAGACGCGAAAGCGUGGGGAGCAAACAGGAUUAGAUA